AUGCAUGUCUAAGUAUAAGCAAUUAUACCGCGAAACUGCGAAUGGCUCAUUAAAUCAGUUAUCGUUUAUUUGAUAGUACCUUACUACAUGGAUAACCGUGGUAAUUCUAGAGCUAAUACAUGCUGAAAAUCCCGACUCACGGAGGGAUGUAUUUAUUAGAUUAAAAACCAAUGCCCUUCGGGGCUCUCUGGUGAUUCAUAAUAACUUCUCGAAUCGCAUGGCCUUGCGCCGGCGAUGGUUCAUUCAAAUUUCUGCCCUAUCAACUUUCGACGGCUGGGUCUUGGCCAGCCGUGGUGACAACGGGUAACGGAGGGUUAGGGCUCGACCCCGGAGAAGGAGCCUGAGAAACGGCUACUACAUCCAAGGAAGGCAGCAGGCGCGCAAAUUACCCAAUCCCGACACGGGGAGGUAGUGACAAUAAAUACUGAUACAGGGCUCUUUCGGGUCUUGUAAUUGGAAUGAGUACAAUUUAAAUCCCUUAACGAGGAACAAUUGGAGGGCAAGUCUGGUGCCAGCAGCCGCGGUAAUUCCAGCUCCAAUAGCGUAUAUUAAAGUUGUUGAGGUUAAAAAGCUCGUAGUUGAACCUUGGGCCUAGCCGGCCGGUCCGCCUCACCGCGUGCACUGGCUCGGCUGGGUCUUUCCUUCUGGAUAACCUCAUGCCCUUCACUGGGUGUGCUGGGGACCAGGACUUUUACUCUGAACAAAUUAGAUCGCUUAAAGAAGGCCUUUGCUCGAAUACAUUAGCAUGGAAUAAUAGAAUAGGACGUGUGGUUCUAUUUUGUUGGUUUCUAGGACCGCCGUAAUGAUUAAUAGGGACAGUCGGGGGCAUCAGUAUUCAAUUGUCAGAGGUGAAAUUCUUGGAUUUAUUGAAGACUAACUACUGCGAAAGCAUUUGCCAAGGAUGUUUUCAUUAAUCAGGAACGAAAGUUAGGGGAUCGAAGACGAUCAGAUACCGUCGUAGUCUUAACCAUAAACUAUG
rnacentral:rRNA from 1 species